UCGGUCAUACCAAUACUUAUUGAUCGGAAAAGUAAACGAUUGGAACUAAAUGUAUUGAAUAAAAUACUUCUGAAAUAGUCAGCAAAUUAUGUCAAGUUUAAUGGAGAGGAAUUUAUACAUCAAUAAACUAUAAAUCGGAUAUAUGGACAUACAAAGAGAAGGAUCGGUAUCAAUUUUACCUUACUUAAAAAAUUAUAACGUGGGGACUAUUAAAAUAAAUAAUUACUAAAUGGAGGUUAGUUAACAGAGGUAUUAAACAUUAAAAUUAAUCAGACAAUAAAAAUGACGACGUUUACUUCUACAGCUAGCACAACAGUAAAUACAACAGCCACUGAAUUGAUAUCCGACACCGACGACUCCGACGGAUGGAUAGAAUCCCCAACGCCGAGGAUAGUGUUUCUUUCGGUUUUCAUUUCAUUUGGAUUUUUUGGAAAUUUGUUCCUUAUCAUAACAGUGUGUCAGUCAAGGAAGUUCCGUUCAAUAGCAUUCUUUAUAUUUGUGAUACAUUUAGCUGUCAUAAAUUUAUGCGAAUGUGUAUUAAACAUGUCAGUGCUUUUGGCAUCAAGUAUUAUAAACGAAUGGAAGUUUGGAGAACUGGCAUGUAGAUUGAGCUCAUUUUGUUUGAAUUUAAUUGCUAUACAAACAGUCCUUAGUUUAACAAUCAGUACGGCAGACCGCCUGAUAGCCGUGCGCUACAAGGAACGGUACGAGCACGUGGUAUCAACGCCGAGAAUCGCGAUACUUAUUUCAUUCACGUGGUUGCAGUCGUUUUCAUUCAGUGUUCCGAUUGCAGUUGGUGUUGUUCCGACAAGUGUAAACUCUUACAUUGUUUAUUGUGCCAUAUCAACAAACUCAUCAGUUGUGUAUACCAUAUUUAGUAUUGUUCUAUGUUUCAUUGUUCCUUUUGUUUUAAUGAUUGUAUUUUUCGUCAAAAUCAUACGAACAGGUUAUUCAGAGAGAUUUCACAUUCGAAACAUUAUUGCACAACAUAAUUACAAUGAUGAAUCUGCAGAGGAGCCCCGAAUCAAGCAAGAUUUCCGGCAUGCUAAUUUGACGGGCACAAUUUGCAUAGCGUGGCUCAUUCUAGAAUCACCGCACGUGGUUACGUCAUAUUUCAACCAGCUUCAGAAUAGUUCUGAGGGCGAUAGUAUUGAGAGAGAGGAUUUACAAUACGUUUGGUAUGUGGACUUAGUGUUGCUAUGGUUACGAUUCUGUUAUGCAAUGGCACUUCCUAUUGCAUCAUUCACUUGGAGCAAGGACCUAUGGAAGAGUUUCAAAGACAUGAUUCUUUGUCGUAAAAAUAACUCGAUAGUUGAUGAAUCCUUCAAGAAAAAUGACAGCGACACUUUAAGGUUAGAAAAGAAAAUACGAGAAGAAAGAAUGAAAGAAAAGGAGGCUAUAAUAUCACCUAGGGAACAAAGGGUAUUCCAGGUCCCAGUGUUGUUUGCAACUUCACAUGGAGUACACAUACAGACUUCAAACAGUCAAACUGAAAUUAGUGACGAUGAUGAGGUGGAAAAUGAGCAGAGCAAGAGCACAAUAAAUGGCACGCUGAGAGGGAAGAAAUGUGAUGUUAUAGGUUCAAGAGACAAUCUGAACAACAUGGAAGAAGACACUAGUGAUUACGAUUCUGGAAACGAACUUGAUCCGUUUUCUGUUUCACAUCCAAUAUCAGUGAAACAAAUAAACAAGGAGAAUCUCACAGAUCGGAAGAGGUCACUAUCCGAGCCGGAGGUACGGGACAAGAUACAAGCAUUAGAUAAAAGUAGCAAUGGUCGAUCAGUUGGUUCAACGUCUGAGGGCGAUUCCGGUUUAGACCUUAGUACAUUGACAAAUGUGAAAACAUCAAAAAAAUUAUCAGUAUUCCAUGUGCCUAGUGAUAAGUUAGUUUUGCAUAACACAAACGACCAGCUUCAAACUGAAAUCAUGCAAAGUGGCUUUGUACCACCAUCUUUGAAUAUAUCUGGUGGGGAGAAGAAUAACGUGUAUGCUGAAUUUCCAGAUCAGGAUAAAGCAGUUGAAGAUGAUACAGUGUUAAAAAGUAAGGAAAGCGAUCUACGUUUUGAAUGUGAAAAAGGUGAAGGUAUUAAAAGCAAUACAAAAUCCUCUAAAAAGUCUCCGGAGAAAUCAUUGUCCGGUGCGACCGAAUCUCCAAUACCAAGAAGAAAGAAAAAGCGACGCAAAGAAAAGAAUUUUGAUACACAAAGUAUUACAUCAGCGACUUCCAUUGCGGGUAUUCCUCCUCGGCCGCCACCGAGACUGGCUCCCAUCACAACCAUUAAAACAUUGGCAUACGGGCCCGUUCGACCGGGUUCAAGUUGUUCGAGUCAGGUAUCCUUCACUGAUAGCAAUAUGGACGGCAGGCAAAGUGUACUGAGUUGUAACAGUUGUGGUGAUAUAACAAAACCGGAUGCAAUGUCGCUUGACAAUCUUUCAGUGUCUUCUUUGAAUACUCGGAAACACAAAAAGAGUGGGAAAUUCAAACAGAAUCUCUUGCAUGAAACUUUCAGUAAUCAUUUAUUGAACGAGAAUGAGAUUCUAACUUUGGAUUUAAAACGAGAAAUCAAAAGUGUUCCAGAAGAAGUGCUCACACCGUCAGACUGUAAUUUUGAAGAUAGGACUCCAGAAACUCAUAAACUGUAUCCAGAAACUGGAAUCCAAACCACUGAAACAGGGAUAGUGAAUACCGGGUAUGAACAGUGUUCAAAUGACGAUACCACAAAUGCGACUCAAGAAGAGACACGAAUCAGAAACAACGAAGCACGAAGAAAGCGAAGGGAGAAACUGAUGUCUACCAAGGAGAAAAUAUCACCUUCAGUAUUGCUCAACGAUGGGAAAGGAUACCAGAGACUUGUCCCAGAAACUCCUUAGAAGGGGUACACAAUGGGCACAAAGACACGACAAGCACCUGCGACAGAUCCUAUGGAAUGUGUGUUGAGUCACAUUUCAGGACAAAAGAAGAACAUAUGUAUCAAAACAAUUAAAUCAGGGAAAACCUUCAACCUCAUAUUACAACUACACAGUGAUUACUCCCCAACAUUGAUUACUCUAUGAUUACAUCGCGGUGAUUAAAUCACAUUGACUACUCCGUGGUGACUACAUGUACAUCAAAGUGAUUACUCCGCAGUAAAUACUCCACAGUUAUUACAUUACAGUGAUAAUGAUUACUUCACAGUGAAGAAAGUGCAUUGGAUACAUCACAGUGAUUAUUCCGCCGUGAUUAGUCCGCAAAUAUUACUCCGUAUUGAUAAACUCAUUAGUGGUAAAUCCACAGCGAUUACUCCGCACUCACAAUAACACCGUGCGUACUAUACAGUGAUAACACCGCAGUAACUUCACCGUGAUUGCUUCACCAAUUUAAAUGCACGGUUUUCACGCAUCACUAUAAGUAUGAGCUUCGUCAAGAUAUAGCAUUGUAUACAGUAACCUCCGUAGACUGACCACCUCCCUACAGUGACAGAUAUGUUUGCGCGACCAUUCCGCGAAGAAAUUAAUCUAAGGACUACAGCCUUGUACUGACAUUUGCAUUCGUGUUUUCUCUAGCGCUGUUAUUACUUUGUUUACAUUGUUAUUGCUCA
rnacentral:misc_RNA from 1 species